CGUAGGGGGCAAGCGUUGUCCGGAUUUAUUGGGCGUAAAGAGCGUGUAGGCGGCCACACAGGUCCGUUGUGAAAACUCGAGGCUCAACCUCGAGACGCCGAUGGAAACCGUGUGGCUAGAGUCCGGAAGAGGAGUGUGGAAUUCCCGGUGUAGCGGUGAAAUGCGCAGAUAUCGGGAAGAACACCUAUGGCGAAGGCAGCACUCUGGGACGGUACUGACGCUGAGACGCGAAAGCGUGGGGAGCGAACAGGAUUAGAUACCCUGGUAGUCCACGCCGUAAACGAUGGAUGCUAGGUGUGGGUGGUGUCGACUCCAUCCGUGCCGAAGCUAACGCAUUAAGCAUCCCGCCUGGGGAGUACGGCCGCAAGGCUA
rnacentral:rRNA from 1 species